GCGGACAUAGCUCAAUCGGCAGAGCACCGAGCGCGCGUCGACCGGUAGACAGACGCUCAUCCCCAUGGAGGUUGCAGGUUCGAGUCCUGCUGUCCGCU
rnacentral:tRNA from 1 species